rnacentral:rRNA from 1 species
UUAAGGGUCCUGAAGGAACGUUGAAGACGACGACGUUGAUAGGCCGGGUGUGUAAGCGCAGCGAUGCGUUGAGCUAACCGGUACUAAUGAACCGUGAGGCUUAACCUU